rnacentral:rRNA from 1 species
CCUACGGGGGGCUGCAGUGAGGAAUAUUGGUCAAUGGGCGAGAGCCUGAACCAGCCAAGUCGCGUGAGGGAAGACGGUCCUAUGGAUUGUAAACCUCUUUUGUCGGGGAGCAAAAAGGCCUCGUGAGGCCACAAGUGAGAGUACCCGAAGAAAAAGCAUCGGCUAACUCCGUGCCAGCAGCCGCGGUAAUACGGAGGAUCCGAGCGUUAUCCGGAUUUAUUGGGUUUAAAGGGAGCGUAGGCCGGCUUUUAAGUCAGCUGUGAAAGUCCGCGGCUCAACCAUGGAAUUGCAGUUGAAACUGGAGGCCUUGAGUGCACCCAGGGAUGCCGGAAUUCAUGGUGUAGCGGUGAAAUGCUUAGAUAUCAUGAAGAACUCCGAUCGCGAAGGCAAGUGUCCGGGGUGCAACUGACGCUGAGGCUCGAAAGUGCGGGUAUCAAACAGGAUUAGAUACCCGUGUAGUC